GACGAACGCUGGCGGCGCGCUUCACACAUGCAAGUCGAGCGAAGCGGCGGACGGGUGAGUAAAACGUGAGUAACCUGCCUUAGACAUUGGGAUAGCCUCGGGAAACCGGGAUUAAUACCCAAUGGUCUAAGAUGGACUCGCGUCCCAUUAGUUAGUUGGUGAGGUAACUGCCCACCAAUGCGACGAUGGGUGGCCGGCCUGAGAAGGUGAACGGCCAGAUUGGAACUGAGAACCGGUCCAAACUCUACAGGAGUCAGCAGUGGGGAAUAUUGAACAAUGGAGUGAACUCUGAUGCAGCGACGCCGCGUGAACGAAAAAGGCGUUCGAGUCGUAAAGUUCGUUUAUAUGGGAAGCGGUACCAUAAGAAAAAGCCCCGGCUAACUACGUGCCAGCAGCCGCGGUAAUUC
rnacentral:rRNA from 1 species